rnacentral:rRNA from 1 species
UACCAGCACCCCGAGUGGUCGGGACGAUUAUUGGGCCUAAAGCAUCCGUAGCCGGUCCUACAAGUCUUCCGUUAAAUCCACCUGCUUAACAGAUGGGCUGCGGAAGAUACUAUAGGGCUAGGAGGCGGGAGAGGCAAGCGGUACUCAGUGGGUAGGGGUAAAAUCCUCUGAUCCAUUGAAGACCACCAGUGGCGAAGGCGGCUUGCCAGAACGCGCUCGACGGUGAGGGAUGAAAGCUGGGGGAGCAAAGCCGG